rnacentral:rRNA from 1 species
UGGGGAAUAUUGGACAAUGGGCGAAAGCCUGAUCCAGCAACGCCGCGUGGAGGAUGAAGGCCCUCGGGUCGUAAACUCCUGUCAGGCGGGACGAAAGAGCCAAGGCAAAUAGUCUUGGCUUCUGACGGUACCGUCGGAGGAAGCCCCGGCUAACUCCGUGCCAGCAGCCGCGGUAAUACGGAGGGGGCAAGCGUUAUUCGGAAUUAUUGGGCGUAAAGGGCGCGUAGGCGGCUUGAUAAGUCAAAGGUGAAAGCCCUCGGCUCAACCGAGGAACUGCCCUUGAUACUGUCUCGCUCGAGGCCGGGAGAGGGUGGUGGAAUUCCCAGUGUAGCGGUGAAAUGCGUAGAUAUUGGGAGGAACACCCGUGGCGAAGGCGGCCACCUGGACCGGUUCUGACGCUGAGGAGCGAAAGCGUGGGGAGCGAACAGGAUUAGAUACCCUGGUAGUCCACGCCGUAAACGUUGGGCACUAGGUGUGGCGGAUUCAUUAACGUCUGCCGUACCGUAGCUAACGCAUUAAGUGCCCCGCCUGGGGAGUACGGCCGCAAGGCUA